rnacentral:rRNA from 1 species
AUUGAACGCUGGCGGCAUGCCUUACACAUGCAAGUCGAACGGCAGCACAGGAGAGCUUGCUCUCUGGGUGGCGAGUGGCGGACGGGUGAGGAAUACAUCGGAAUCUACUUUUUCGUGGGGGAUAACGUAGGGAAACUUACGCUAAUACCGCAUACGACCUACGGGUGAAAGCAGGGGAUCUUCGGACCUUGCGCGAUUGAAUGAGCCGAUGUCGGAUUAGCUAGUUGGCGGGGUAAAGGCCCACCAAGGCGACGAUCCGUAGCUGGUCUGAGAGAAUGCUCAGCCACACUGGAACUGAGACACGGUCCAGACUCCUACGGGAGGCAGCAGUGGGGAACAUUGGACAAUGGGCGCAAGCCUGAUCCAGCCAUACCGCGUGGGUGAAGAAGGCCUUCGGGUUGUAAAGCCCUUUUGUUGGGAAAGAAAUCCAGCUGGUUAAUACCCGGUUGGGAUGACGGUACCCAAAGAAUAAGCACCGGCUAACUUCGUGCCAGCCGCCGCAGUAA